GGACGCCCGAACUGUCCACCAUCCCCGAUGGCGACAUGCCCAGGUAGCCGAGGUCUUCGAGGCUACGGCGCCGCGUUGCCGCGCGCCGGCCUGCCCGGUAAAU
rfam:Pseudoxanthomonas spadix BD-a59, complete genome.